rnacentral:rRNA from 1 species
UACGUAGGGUGCAAGCGUUAAUCGGAAUUACUGGGCGUAAAGCGUGCGCAGGCGGUUUUGUAAGUCUGUCGUGAAAUCCCCGGGCUCAACCUGGGAAUUGCGAUGGAGACUGCAAGGCUAGAAUCUGGCAGAGGGGGGUAGAAUUCCACGUGUAGCGGUGAAAUGCGUAGAUAUGUGGAGGAAUACCGGUGGCGAAGGCGGCCUCCUGGUUCAAUACUGACGCUGAGGUGCGAAAGCGUGGGGAGCAAACAGG